rnacentral:misc_RNA from 1 species
UAUCGCGAGAAAAAGCGAGAGGGAGGCGACAAUCUUGUGAUUGCUUCACGAAGAACGUUUUCGUGUGCUUUGUGCACUUUGUGUUCCAUCGCUCGUAAUCCGUCGACAUCAUGUCUUUCCGAGGAAACGAAUGCAGGAUCUAUGUGGGCAACUUGCCCCCGGACAUCAGGAGCAAGGAUAUUGAGGAUUUGUUUUACAAAUUCGGCAAGAUAACUUUCAUCGACUUGAAGAACCGCAGGGGUCCGCCAUUCGCUUUUGUUGAAUUCGACGACCCCAGGGAUGCAGAGGAUGCGGUGCAAGCCCGGGACGGCUAUGACUAUGAUGGCUACCGCUUGCGUGUGGAAUUCCCCCGGGGCUCUGCACCCGGGCGGGGCAGCAUGGGACCCGGCAGAGGCAGGGGCCCCCCGGCCCGGAGGUCUCAGUACAGGGUUCUUGUUUCAGGUUUGCCCCCUAGUGGCAGUUGGCAGGACCUGAAGGAUCACAUGAGGGAGGCUGGUGAUGUUUGCUAUGCUGAUGUGUUCAAGGACGGCACAGGUGUUGUGGAGUUCCUCCGAUAUGAGGACAUGAAAUAUGCUGUCAAGAAGCUGGAUGACUCGCGCUUUCGAUCCCAUGAGGGUGAAGUGUCGUACAUCAGAGUGCGUGAAGACUACAGCAGCCGCUCGCGCAGCCGAAGCCGCAGCUACUCUCCACGCCGCUCUCGUGGUUCUCCUACGUACUCACCAGCCCGCCGGUCUGGGUCACGAACACCGUCACGGUCUCGCUCCUGCUCACACUCCAACUGAACUGGGAACAUUUGGGGUCUGAUAUGAGGACAGCACUAUGCGCUCCACAGGCAACUUUUCCAACCCAAGUUUUUUUGAUGCCACAAAACGGGAGGAUGGCACACGUCGCUGAGGAUCACUAAAGCGGAUAUGUUUGCGGACACGCACAUUCGGAUCGGAGGAGCUUAGCGGGAGGAUUGUGAAAAAGGUGUGGUGCCGCCCUACCGAGGAUUUGGCAAGGCGCACACAACAGGAAGGGGAGGAAAAAAAAGGAAAAAAGAUUUCGUUCAGUAGAGCAAGCGCUGGUUCGGGGAGCGCAAGAGGAGUACGGCGCUGGGAGAAGUGGCUCGCACACAAUGGCAGGAGGAGAACACGCCGCGUAGCGCAUAGGAAGGAGCAGCACGCAUCCUGCACAUGGGAGACGGAAUUGGCCAUCAGGAUUUUGGAGCCUCGUUUCAGGGUAGGCCCCUCCCUCAAACCGCCCCGCAUUGUCGCUCGCUCGCCGCCGGGCCGGCUCGUGCGCUCUCACUUGCUCCCCCCUGUCUCUUUUUGGAGGGCGUCUUGCGGCUUUGCUGGGCCAGGCCUGCUUCAGUUUGUAAUCUGCCAUCCUUCACGCUUCUGUUCUGCCACAAGGCUCAGUAGCCGUUUAAAACAUAAGUGCUCUGGGUGCGAGUGCUCACUAACCUCCUGUUCUCUCUUUCACUGUUUCUGUGUUGAUCUAACAAACCCUGUUGUGCCCUUUUGAAUGAAAUUGCAAACAUCAAGCCACAACUUCUAGAUUGAAGUGCAGGGUGGUAGUCGACACUGGCUCAUUUUUUUCUAUCCCUGUAAAUUAACUGGCCCAAAGCCCGGCAAAGUCCCUCGACUUGCAAACUAGUGACGACUCCCUUCAAGAUGAAUGCAGAGAGUCCAAGUGCUGUGUAUUUAUCUGUGGCUCUCUUUCUCCAAAGACUUUGAAUCAAGUCUGGUGACAUCAUCAGGGAGAGAAAUGCCCGUUUUGUUUAUCUUCAGGGGAGUCGCUCAUUUCCAUUCUUCUGGCUUUUAAGACAAUAUUCUUAUCUCGGGCACCUUUCAACACUUUAUUUGAAGAGUGGCGUGUUUAAACGUCUGUAGAGUCGUCUCUUUAGAUUAGAUAUCCCCCACGUGGGUAUAGUGACUGCCGUAUUGAAACGUUUUGUGGCUGUUUGCUGUGUCGUGCAAGUGAUGCCUACUGUACAUCUGUUGCCCCUGCCCAAGCAGUAAAGGAAAAGAAUUUGUACCCUAUUCUUAUGUGCAGCGUUGUGUGAUUGUGUCAUAUGGGUUGGGAUGGGGGGGGAGCCGUUCGUGCCACUCUGCUUUGCUAACCGUCCUGUCCUGUUUUCUUGCCAAAGGUCUCACUCCUGACGAGGAGGAGGACUGACACGCAGGGGUUCAGGACCUGUUUACACGUGUGUGUGGAAUCUGGAUCAAUAGGAUUGGAUGGAAUUCAGGAUUGGAUCCACACAUGGCAGGAUGCAAACAGGUGCCGUAAGAGUUGCGCGCAACUGUGGGCUGGGCUGGCGGGGUGGGCUAUUGUGGCUAGUACUAGAUGCAGCUUUGGGGUGGUUGGUGGGCUCUCUCUCUGCAGCCUUUUGCAAAGCAGUACUUCUAUUAUAAAGCAGUACUCGUAGCGUAAGUAGUGUAAUCAAGUUUAGGUCUAGCUUUAAGCUGUUUCUGUACAAUCAACUAUCUUUCUUUAGGUGGUAGAUUUUUCAGCACUCGUCAGAGGUGAGUAUGAACGUGGGGGCAGCGUGGCAUCCGAAAGUGGCAAUACAGUGGCAACUUAAAAAGGCAGAGCAGGCUAGCCUGUAGACCCUGUGUAAUCAGUGUUAAGCUGAUGGUCUUGAGUUGGCAUUAAAAGUGACAUCUGGUUUGA